UGUGUGUGUGUGUGAGAGAGUGAUAGAGAGAGAGAGAGAGAGAGAGUACGAAAUCACUCUGGCAUCAAGAUUCCCAUAUCUUCCCUGGAAAUAAGCAGUUUGAAAUCGUGUAAAUGCGACACCCACUUUGAG